rnacentral:rRNA from 1 species
AGAGUUUGAUCAUGGCUCAGAACGAACGUUAGCGGCNNNNNUAACACAUGCAAGUCGAGCGAGAAAGGGCUUCGGCCCCGGUAAAGCGGCGCACGGGUGAGUAACACGUAGGUAAUUUGCCCUCAGGUGGUGGAUAACUUUCCGAAAGGAAGGCUAAUACAGCAUGAGACCACGGUUCCGAAAGGGAUUGAGGUCAAAGCCGGCCAAUUCAUGAAAGCUGGUGCCAGAGGAUGAGCCUGCGGCCCAUCAGCUAGUUGGUAGGGUAAUGGCCUACCAAGGCGAAGACGGGUAGCUGGUCUGAGAGGAUGAUCAGCCACACUGGAACUGAGACACGGUCCAGACUCCUACGGGAGGCAGCAGUGGGGAAUCUUGCGCAAUGGGCGAAAGCCUGACGCAGCGACGCCGCGUGAGUGAUGAAGGCCUUCGGGUUGUAAAGCUCUGUGGAGGGGGACGAAUAAGGGUUGGCUAAUAUCCAACUUGAUGACGGUACCCUUUUAGCAAGCACCGGCUAACUCUGUGCCAGCAGCCGCGGUAAGACAGAGGGUGCAAACGUUGUUCGGAAUUACUGGGCGUAAAGCGCGUGUAGGCGGCUCGGAAAGUCGGAUGUGAAAGCCCUGGGCUUAACCUAGGAAGUGCAUUCGAAACUCCCGAGCUUGAGUUCUGGAGAGGAAGGCGGAAUUCUCGGUGUAGAGGUGAAAUUCGUAGAUAUCGAGAGGAACACCGGUGGCGAAGGCGGCCUUCUGGACAGUGACUGACGCUGAGCGCGAAAGCGUGGGGAGCAAACAGGAUUAGAUACCCUAGUAGUCC